rnacentral:rRNA from 1 species
UACGUAGGGGGCAAGCGUUGUCCGGAUUCAUUGGGCGUAAAGAGCGUGUAGGCGGUUAGGUAGGUCCGUUGUGAAAACUCGAGGCUCAACCUCGAGACGCCGAUGGAAACCAUCUGACUAGAGUCCGGAAGAGGAGAGUGGAAUUCCUGGUGUAGCGGUGAAAUGCGCAGAUAUCAGGAAGAACACCCGUGGCUAAGGCGGCUCUCUAGUACGGUACUGACGCUGAGACGCGAAAGCGUGGGGAGCGAACAGG